rnacentral:sRNA from 1 species
UCCUUCUUAAGGCAGUGUGCUUGGUUGAAGAGGAUGGCCUGCCUGAUGGAGAAGGACAAGUGUGUAAGCAGUCACACUCCCCUGCUAGAUACCUCUAAGUAAGUUCUCAGUGUAGGAAGUU